GUCUAGCUGGCUCAAUUAGCACAGCAUGUGACUCUUAAUCUUAGGGUUGUGGGUUUGAGCCCCACGUUGGGUG
rnacentral:tRNA from 1 species